AAUACCUAUACAGGGCAUUAUAAUGUCUUGUAAUUGGAAUGAGAACAAUUUAAAUCCCUUAUCGAGGAUCCAUUGGAGGGCAAGUCUGGUGCCAGCAGCCGCGGUAAUUCCAGCUCCAAUAGCGUAUAUUAAAGUUGUUGCAGUUAAAAAGCUCGUAGUCGGAUUUUGGCAUCAUGCCGAACUGUCAGCCGAUUGGUUUGUACGGUUUGGCGGGUGCUCGCCGUUCCGGAGGCUCGUUUCCUUCUUCAUUGAAGGGUUCGACGGUUCCGGGUCUUUCACUUUGAAGAAAUUAGAGUGUUCGAAGCAGGCCUAUGCUCUGAAUAGGUUAGCAUGGAAUAAUAGAGUAGGACCUGGG
rnacentral:rRNA from 2 species